rnacentral:lncRNA from 1 species
GGUGGCGGGGGUGGGGGCGGUGAUCUGGCAGGAAAGGCGGGGGAGUGGUGAGGGGGGCUUGAGAAGGACAAAAAAGAAUG